rnacentral:rRNA from 1 species
GACGUAAGGGGCAAGCGUUGUUCGGAAUUAUUGGGCGUAAAGGGUGCGUAGGCGGUUUCGUAAGCCCGGCGUGAAAUACUGGAGCUCAACUCCAGAACUGCGCUGGGAACUGUGAGACUUGAGUCAUGGAAGGGGAGUUGGAAUUCCAGGUGUAGGGGUGAAAUCUGUAGAUAUCUGGAAGAACACCGGUGGCGAAGGCGAACUCCUGGCCAAUGACUGACGCUGAGGCACGAAAGUGUGGGGAGCAAACAGG